rnacentral:lncRNA from 1 species
UUUUUUUUUUUUUUUUUUUUUUUUUGCUUUUUAGGGCUGCACCCGGGGCAUAUGGAGGUUCCCAGGCUAGGGGUCCAAUUGGAGUUGCAGCUGCUGGUCUUCACCUCAGCUCACAGCAAUGGCAGAUCCUUAACCCACUGAGCGAGGCCAGGGAUCAAACCCAUAACCUCAUGCAUGGUUCCUAUCGGAUUCGUUAACCACUGCGCCACGACGGGAACUCCCUAUAGAGACAUAUUUUUAUUUCACCUCUAUUUUGGAAGGAUGUUUUGCUAUUUUAUAAGUUUACAGUUUUCUUUUGCUUCCAGAACCAGAACAGUAUGGUCCACUAUCUCCUGGGCUCACUCCAUUGUUUCUAGUGAGAAGUCAGAAGUCUUUCAAAUGACUGUUUUCCCUAUGAAAUAUGCUUCUAUGGGUUUUGUUUUGUUUGCUAUUUUAAGAUGUUCUCUUUAUUUUCAUUUUUGAGGAUAUGCUCUUUUUGUUUGUCUGUUUGUUUAAUUUCUCCUGCUUGGAGUUUGCUGAGCUUUUUGAAUCUGUAGAGUUGUGUCUUUACCUAAAUUGAGGAACUGUUCAACCACUAUGUCUUAAAAUAUUUAUUGUACAUCAUUCUCUUUUUCCACUCCUUGGUACUACAUUUACCCCAUGUAUUGACAUUGUCCUAUAGGUUCUUACAGAUCUAUUCAUUUCGUUUAAUACUUUACUCUUCAUUCUUCACAGUGAAUCAUUUCUAUGCAUCUGUUUUCACAUUCAUUGACGUUUUCCAUUAGAACAUCCCGUUAUGCUUUUAAGCCUAUACACUGAUUGUUUGAUGUAAUAAAUUGUAAUUUUCAGCCCUGGAUUUUCCAUUUGGUACCUUUCUAUAGAUUAUUUUCCUUUGCUGUGAUUUCCUGUGUUUUCAUUCAUAGGGAGUGUAUUUCCCUUUAUAUUUUUGGACAUGGUUAUAAUGGCUGCUUUAAAGUCCUCAGAUGCUAACUCUAACAUCUGAGUUGAUUGUCAUUUGUCUUGAAAAUGAAUAUAUUUUCCAUUUUCUUUGUAUGCCCACUAAUCUGGAUUGAAUCUUGGACGUAGAGAAUAUUGUAGAUACUCUGGAUUCUGUUACACUCCUCAAAAAAGUGCAGACAUUUUUGGUUUAGGAGGCAAGUAACUUGACCAGACUCAAACUGCAGACCCUAUCUUUUGGACUGCAGUUCACAUGUCCCUUUGGUUUUUUUGUGUGUUUUAAUUCAUAAUUGGGCCUCUUUCAACCCAUUCUGCACUUGUAUGGUUCAGAGGUCUGCUAGAGGUUGGGCAGUUUUACACAGGAUUGUGCUUUUCCAUCACACCCAGGUCUUUCCUUUCCAGGGUUUUUUCUUCUACUUUCAGUGACUUUGCUUAUUUCAAAUUCUUUUUUUUUUGAAGCCAGAAAAGCUAUAUUUUCCUAUUGGCCUGUUAGCAUCCAUGUGCAGCUAAAAUAUAUAAAAAAAUAGGAAAUUCAUCUUAUGUUAUUGCCUUCUUCCCAGAGUUGACUCUCUCGAGACUCCACCUGCUCAUAUUCACAUGCCAGUGCCUUCAGGUUAAUUGUAGGGGUUGUUUUUUAAUCUUUUGUCCAGAAGUUAUAGUUAUUAUCUGCAGGAAGUUCAAUCCAGUAGGAUCUUAUUAUGGCAAUCCAAAGUGGAACUGAUGUCCCACAGGUUAGAAAAUUAGUGUAGCAUGGUUCCUAAGAGUGUGGUAGUAAUGUAUUCUAUCAUUCUAAACUGAGUUUCAAGCAUGGCCCUUUGGAUUUGUUUGUGGGUUUUUUGUUUUUGUUUGGGGAGGGCUUUUUUUUUAAUAAAGUAGUUCCCACACAUUUUAUCAGUUAGAAUCUAUUUCAACCCCACUGCAACCCACUGUCUACUUCUCAUCCUGGAUUUUGUUCCAAGUGCAGUUCAGAGGGCCUCAGGAUCAUUUAGAGUGGCUUCAAUGUGAUGCCACUGGUACCACAUUCUCUUCUCUGUGGAGUUCCUAAAAGCCUUAGCAGCUAAAUCUCAGUGCUCUGGUUUCCCCUUCUCAGACCACAGUGUCACAUCUCCCCAUUGCCCUUGGGUCACCUUGGUCACUGAACAUUCCGGAAUAAAAUAUGGUUGUAUUCAAGUUAUUUGCUGUUCGCUCCCUGUAUCCUCCGCACUUACCUGUGAAAAUAUACUACACUGAAUGCUUGGGUAUCUAACCCAGGAUGGAUAGAACAUUGUUUAUGUUACUGGGGCAGGGAAAGUUAGGUGAAAUUCUUUGAAAAUCCACUGGAGUCAGCCUCCCUCUCAAAGCUGUGGCAUUUCAGGUGUCAGGCUUUUGAGCAGCCUGAAUUCUCCCAAACCCCACUUCCCUGGAGAGGGCAGGGGAUCUCAAAUUAAACAUUCGUCUUUGAGGGCCAUUUUUCAGUAUUUUUGUAUUUCUGUUUCUUAGGUAUAGCACACAGAACAUAGCUACCUUAUUAGGAGUAUAAUGUGAAUUAGUGACAUGACAAUGAGAUGUCCUAUAGCUCACGGAGAAGAAAGAUCCAAACAUGCAUAUUUUGCUGUUAUUUAUUAUUUGGAGAGCUUCUAUGAUACCUAUGAACAGCAAAGCCCAUGAUUCAAGGCUUACCACAGCUAUAAGUGCCAGCUAAUGAAAUGGUACCAUUGAUUUCCUUUUUCUGUCUUUUUUGACCCUCUGUAAAAUUUAAAGGAAAAAAAGAGAUACAUUAAAUUCCAAUUCUAAUAAUAGCCCCCAGUGGGGACCAAAUGGCUAAGACAAUGGGAAGGGAGACCUUUCAGCAGUAGAAUUUGCUUUGAGCCUAAAUGAGGUGUGUUGUGAUCAUGGCUUUUUUGUGUGUGAAAUGAAAUCAUGGAAGUUGAUUCCUUCUGGUUGGACCCCAAAGAAUGAGUGUCAGAUCCCCAGAUCAUGCCCACUGGUAGUAAUUAAGCUUCACUCUGCAGAGAGCCCCUGGAAGCCUUAAGAGGCAGUACUUUUGAGAAUCCCAGACUUUAGAUUUCCAGUUAUUCCUGUAGUGAAUGGAUGCCUUCACUGUCUAUUCUACUUUCUUCCACUGGCCUCUAAAGAAAGGACUUUGAGUCAGCUUUUCUGUAUUAAUAGGGCAUCAUUAGAAAGCAGGAAAUUUAUCAAGGAAAAUAAUGUUCAGAAGAGAAAUAAUAAACAAUGAGAUACUACUGUACAGCACAGAGAACUAUAUCCAAUGUCCUAUGAUAAACCACAUAUUGGAAAAAGUUUUUUUGUUUGUUUGUUUUUGGGUUUUUUUUUUUUUUUUUUUUUUUUUUUUUGUCUUUUGCAGGGCUGCACCCAUGGCAUAUGGAGGUUCCCCGGCUAGGGGUCUAAUCAGAGCUGUAGCCUCCUUCCUAUGCCAUAGCCAUAGCAAUGCAGGAUCUGAGCCAUGUCUGCAACCUACACCACAGCUCACGGCAACGCCAGAUCCUUAACCCACUGAGCGAGGCCAGGGAUCGAACUUGAGACCUCAGUGUUCCUAGUUGGAUUCGUUAACCACUGAGCCACGACAGGAACUUCCUGGAAAAGAAUAUUUG